GACGAACGCUGGCGGCGUGCUUAACACAUGCAAGUCGAACGGAAAGGCCCUGCUUUUGUGGGGUGCUCGAGUGGCGAACGGGUGAGUAACACGUGAGUAACCUGCCCUUGACUUUGGGAUAACUUCAGGAAACUGGGGCUAAUACCGGAUAGGAGCUCCUGCUGCAUGGUGGGGGUUGGAAAGUUUCGGCGGUUGGGGAUGGACUCGCGGCUUAUCAGCUUGUUGGUGGGGUAGUGGCUUACCAAGGCUUUGACGGGUAGCCGGCCUGAGAGGGUGACCGGCCACAUUGGGACGGAGAUACGGCCCAGACUCCUAUGGGAGGCAGCAGUGGGGAAUAUUGCACAAUGGGCGGAAGCCUGAUGCAGCAACGCCGCGUGCGGGAUGACGGCCUUCGGGUUGUAAACCGCUUUCGCCUGUGACGAAGCGUGAGUGACGGUAAUGGGUAAAGAAGCACCGGCUAACUACGUG
rnacentral:rRNA from 1 species